rnacentral:misc_RNA from 1 species
GCAGAGAAUAAGGCUCAGAAAAAGCUCUCCGCUGUUACCGCCUGGGAGAACAGCAAGAAGGCUNGAAGCCAAGUUGAGAAAGAUUGAGGAAAAAUUGGAGAAGCAAAAGGCAGAAUAUGCAGAGAAUAUGAAAAACAAAGUAGCUUUAAUUCACAAACAGGCUGAAGAAAAGAGAGCAGUGGUUGAAGCCAAAAGAGGAGAAGGAGUCCUAAAGGCAGAGGAAAUGGCUGCAAAAUACCGUGCUACUGGGCAAACUCCAAAGAAACUCCUUGGUUGCUUCUAAGGUUGCAAGUUUCGAGCUUGGUCUGAAAGCAUUAAAUGGAAUCAGAGCUAUUUCUCUUCAUAAUUUUUUUUGGUAACUCUUCUGUACACUUCUCUUGUUUAUUUCUUUCCUUGUAGUUUGUGUCUUUGCCACUGUAAAAUAAUCAAACUUCUACUAUUGAGCGUGCGCAUGUAUAUAAGUACAAUAUUUUGUCUAUGAGAAAAGAGUUU